CCUACGGGAGGCAGCAGUGAGGAAUAUUGGUCAAUGGCCGGAAGGCUGAACCAGCCAAGCCGCGUGAAGGACGAAGGUGCCACGCAUUGUAAACUUCUUUUGUCAAGGGAUAAAGUCAGGCACGUGUGCCUUAUCGUGUGUACUUUAUGAAUAAGCAUCGGCUAACUCCGUGCCAGCAGCCGCGGUAAUACGGAGGAUGCGAGCGUUAUCCGGAUUUAUUGGGUUUAAAGGGUGCGUAGGCGGUCUGUUAAGUCAGCGGUAAAAGCCCGGGGCUAAACCCCGGCGAGCCGUUGAAACUGGCGGUCUGGAGAGGGCGAGAGGUAUGCGGAAUGCGUAGUGUAGCGGUGAAAUGCUUAGAUAUUGCGCAGAACUCCGAUUGCGAAGGCAGCAUACCGGAGGGGAUCUGACGCUGAGGCACGAAAGCGUGGGUAUCGAACAGGAUUAGAUACCCGUGUAGUC
rnacentral:rRNA from 1 species